rnacentral:rRNA from 1 species
UACGGAGGGGGCUAGCGUUGUUCGGAAUUACUGGGCGUAAAGCGCACGUAGGCGGCUUUGUAAGUUAGAGGUGAAAGCCCAGGGCUCAACCCUGGAAUUGCCUUUAAGACUGCAUCGCUUGAAUCAUGGAGAGGUGAGUGGAAUUCCGAGUGUAGAGGUGAAAUUCGUAGAUAUUCGGAAGAACACCAGUGGCGAAGGCGACUCACUGGACAUGUAUUGACGCUGAGGCACGAAAGCGUGGGGAGCAAACAGG